UGAAUACGAGAUGCUACGGCGUCGAAGCAGUCUAUGUCAUACUUCCAAGAAAAGCUUGCACUGUCAUAAACAAAUAAUGCCUGUACCAUAACCGACACAGGUGGGUAGGUAGAGUAUACUAAGGGGCGCGAGAUAACUCUCUCUAAGGAACUCGGCAAAAUGACUCCGUAACUUCGGGAGAAGGAGUGCCUUAUUUAUAAGGUUGCAAUAACAAGAUCCAAGCAACUGUUUACCAAAAACACAGGUCUCCGCUAAGUCGUAAGACGAUGUAUGGGGGCUGACGCCUGCCCAGUGCCAGAAGGUUAAAGAAGUUGGUUAGCAUCCGCGAAGCUGAUAACUGAAGCCCUGGUGAACGGCGGCCGUAACUAAACGGUCCUAAGGUAGCGAAAUUCCUUGUCGGGUAAGUUCCGACCCGCACGAAAGGCGUAAUGAUUUGGAUACUGUCUCGGAGAGGGGCUCGGUGAAAUAGACUUGUCUGUGAAGAUGCGGACUACCUGCACCAGGACAGAAAGACCCUAUGAAGCUUUACUGUAACCUGAAAUUGAAAUUGGACUUUACUUGCGCAGUAUAGGUGGGAGGCGUUGAGAAUAUUCUUGCGGGAUUAUUGGAGCCAUCAGUGAGAUACCACUCUUGUAAUGUUAGAUUUCUAACUUUGUAUCAUUAUCUGGUCGAAGAACAGUUUCAGGCGGGCAGUUUGACUGGGGCGGUCGCCUCCUAAACGGUAACGGAGGCGCACAAAGGUUUCCUCUGAACGGGUAGAAAUCGUAUCUAGAGUGUAAAGGCAUAAGGAAGCUUGACUGUGAGACCUACAAGUCGAGCAGGGACGAAAGUCGGUCUUAGUGAUCUGACGGUGCUGAGUGGAAAGGCCGUCACUCAACGGAUAAAAGUUACUCUAGGAUAACAGGCUGAUCUCCCCCAAGAGUUCACACCGACGGGGAGGUUUGGCACCUCGAUGUCGGCUCAUCGCAUCCUGGGGCGGUAGUACGUCCCAAGGGUUGGGCUGUUCGCCCAUGAAAGCGGUACGCGAGCUGGGUUCAGAACGUCGUGAGACAGUUCGGUCCAUAUCCGGUGUAGGCGUUAGAAUAUUGAGAGGAGCCUUCUUUAGUACGAGAGGACCGAGAAGGACAUACCUCUGGUGUACCAGUUAUCGUGCCAACGGUAAACGCUGGGUAGCUAUGUGUGGAGUGGAUAACCGCUGAAAGCAUCUAAGUGGGAAGCCCACCUCAAGAUGAGUAUUCUC
rnacentral:rRNA from 1 species